rnacentral:rRNA from 1 species
AGGAAAUAGAUACCCCGGUAGUCCACGCCCUAAACGAUGUCGACUAGGUGUUCGGUGAGGAGACUCAUUGAGUACCGCAGCUAAACGCGUGAAGUCGACCGCCUGGGGAGUACGGUCGCAAGAUUAAAACUCAAAGGAAUUGACGGGGACCCGCACAAGCGGUGGAUGAUGUGGAUUAAUUCGAUGCAACGCGAAAAACCUUACCUACCCUUGACAUGUACGGAACCCUGCUGAGAGGUGGGGGUGCUCGAAAGAGAGCCGUAACACAGGUGCUGCAUGGCUGUCGUCAGCUCGUGUCGUGAGAUGUUGGGUUAAGUCCCGCAACGAGCGCAACCCUUGUCAUUAGUUGCUACGCAAGAGCACUCUAAUGAGACUGCCGGUGACAAACCGGAGGAAGGUGGGGAUGACGUCAAGUCCUCAUGGCCCUUAUGGGUAGGGCUUCACACGUCAUACAAUGGUCGGUACAGAGGGUUGCCAAGCCGCGAGGUGGAGCCAAUCCCAGAAAGCCGAUCGUAGUCCGGAUCGCAGUCUGC